UGAAUCCAUGGUUUUAUGUAAACACUGCCUUCCCUCCUGGUAAUGAUGGGCCAAAGAUUUUAAUGCAGGAGGAGAAAAGACAGUGAAGAGGUGGGAGUAGUGUUUCUGAGCUUACAUAGUGCUAGUCUGAGUCCUUCGGUGUCAGAGAAACCUGAAAAAUAGAGUGUGGGAGUGUUAUCAUGGCAGAGGAGAAAAUGAGAGUUAGGAGAAGCGAAUUGUCACAUUUUGUUUCUUACCCAAACUAUUCCCAGGUGAUUUUGGACAGCUAUGGUGGUGUGUUAUUCAUAUGUAGCUCCUCCACACUCUGUUAAUACAGAGAGGAGAGAAAGAGAGAAACUUCAAGAUCAGUCUGGGUUCUUCUAUAACCAACAGAAACAUGGAAGAGAUGGGGCUUGUGUGUGCAUGUGUAUGUGUGAGAGAGAAAGAUGGUCUCUAAAUACUAUGAAAGAGACUCAUUGAAGCAGAAAGCAACUUAUCACCAGCACUUGCUUGAUGGAGGCUGUGUUAUCAGAGCAUUGCCAGAUUUGAUGUUUGGAAUAAUCUGGGCUGGUGAAGAAUGAUGCAAGUGUACGGAAUGUAAAUACAGAAGUAGAUACUAUCCAAGCUAAGUCUAGAGGGCUCAGAGAGUGGGAAAUUAAGAGGCUUUUCCCUGCCACCUGAUGCCCAGCCUGCCAUAUAAUCAUAGCAAAGUCCUAGUAUGGUUGCUUCCUAUUCUAUAAUGCAAACACAACAAAGAAGAACAAAAGCUUCUCCACUUGCUACAUGUGUUACUUUGGCAAGUAAUUUAACUUCCAUUGAGUCCCAGUUUUCUUAUAAAUGAAAUGGUACUUGUGCUCACAUCGGCAGCACAUAUACUAAAACUGGAAUGAAACAGAGAAGAUUAGCAUGGCCCCUUCACAAGGAUAGUAGGCAAAUUUGGGUAGUGUUCUAUAUAUUUUACUAAAGAUGAAAUGGCAUUGAUAUUAAUAGCAUAUAAGCUUGUUGUUAGGAACAUUAAGUGGGACAUGUCAGAAAUUACUUAGCACAGUGCCUUGAUGAUGGGAGAUAUUUUAUAAACUAUAAUUAUUGUCAGCCAUGUUGCAGAAUAUCAUCAAUGAUCUACAGUUUCAAGAAGCACUGCCUUUACCUGCAAUACUCAUUUGCACCCCACUGUAAAUCCAAAUCACUGAUUCUAGGACCACAACUUGAUACUUUGCAAGUGACUCCUAUUGGGGUUAAGACCAGCAAAGUAGAGCUAGGGAUACAUCUCAGUUGCUAGUGUUUACCUGACAUGCAUUGCAGCACUGGAUUCUCUCUCCAGUUCUGUAAAACUAAAAGAAAUGUAAGGGAAAUUAAAAGACUCAAGAGAAAAUGAAGGUUAGAUGUAGACACUAAUUUCUAUGCCAAGAAAAUUGUCUCCAUCUUAAUUAGAGCUAAAAAAUAGUGAUACAUUGGGGGACAUCUAGAAUUCUUGAUAGAAUGGAAGCCUUAAGUUCUAGCUCCAUAAGAAUAACCAAAUCAUUCCUUCCUGUUCUUCAUAUGUUGAGAAUGUCAACUAGAACCAUUAGAACAAUUAGAUUUCACCAUCUAUGGAGUCUACACGUAGCCAAUAGUAUUUCUUUCUGCUGCCCCAAAUAACAGGCUCUACAGUGAUGUAUUGAAAACCUACCACAUACCAGGUACUAAACCGAGUGAGUGAUCUCACUCACCUGAGCACAUGAAAUAAUCUUUUAGACAGCAUUGUUAGAUAUAUAGAGAAGAAUACAGAGGCUUGGCAAUUUUAAAGAAUAUGACUAUGUAAACAUAUUCAGUGAGUGGCCAAGCUUGAUUCUGUACCCACAAUGUUGCAGAUCUUUGAACAUUUUCAACAGUUUGUGUUAUAUAUGUUUUACUCAAUAGACAUGGCAAUCAAAUCACAAAACCCCCUAAGAGCUCAAACUGAGAAGUUCCAGGUGAAGUAAAAUGAAGCUGUCCAGCAUAUCUCUUAUCAAUCCAAGGGGAAAGUGGAGUUUGGCUUCUUAAUACAAUUCCUUUGAUAAGAGAAUACCCAAGAGUACAUGGAAAUCUUUGCUGGGCUAAAUAUAAAUAGCACUUUCCUCUGAGCCUGGAUCCAGAUUGGGUUGUUCUCCAGCCAGCUCAAGUUGCAGUAACUGUAACAGCAGGAUACUAGGCUUUGACUUUCUUUGCGAUGUACAUACGUGGGCUAAUCCAUUGAACUUGACCAUUUUUAACACCUGUGGAUGGGUUCUGUUUAUAAGCUCAGCCAUGAGACGUACAGAGAUAAAAUUUAUAUCUCAGCUGGAAGGACAAGGGUACCCCUUGUAGACAGUGCCACUUUCUUGGGUUAGUCUUUCUUUCUAUCUUGAAUUCAUGACUGACCCAGACCUUGUAGAUUAUUUUCUCUGUGUGUGGGUAUGUAUGUAUGUAUGUAUGUAUGUAUGUAUGUAUCUGUGCGUGUGUACACACACACAAAGAUACCCUAGGUAGCAAGCAGACCUUAUGCCUUUCUGCUUUGUACCAUACUAUUGCUGCUAGCUAAAAACCAGCAAAAUGUAGAAAGUGACAAAUGAAGAAACUACUUUUCAGUAGAUAAUUUGAAGAAAAAAGAUGUCUGCUCCUCAUUUAGGGGGAGCAGAGAACUAUUUCAAUAGCUUGCCUUUUCUGAAGGCCAAGUGUUUCGAGUUCCAUGCUGCCUCAGUAGCAGGGUUGAUGGCGCAUGUGGUGCUGCCACCUCUGCCUGAGGAGCUGGCCCAGGUUCAGAUAAUCCCCUGUGAGUAGCCACAGAAGCCUCAGAACUCCCAUGGCUGGGUCACUGCACCCCUGUCAACAAGUUGUAUCCUGUUGAUAGACUGCGACCCCCUGGAGCCUGCAUUCCCUGUGCCAACUCCCAUUUUCAGCAUGUGAAUUUUAGCCAUAGAUUCAUCCCUGAGUUCCCAGCUUGUUGACUGUGUGUCUAUUUCAACUCAUCAAGGUAGAAAUGGGCAGACUGCAAGCCCAUUCUUUGGUCUAAGGAGUGAGGUUUAGAUUCUGGAUAGAAGAUAGCUCUACAAAACAUAGAGCACAGGCUUGGCUUUCUGGCAUUUCUAAUGUUCAGAGGGCAGGAAUGGAACCAUGCACAAUGUACACAUUCAAUUCCUUUUAGAAUGAUAGGUCUCACUCGGUGUACUGCUUAACUACUUAAUAAUCUGGAUUGUGCAUAUCCAGCGAUAAAAUGAAGAACUUUUCACUUACAAGUGGGUGUUUCCAAACAUGUUAGAAUAACCUCCUGAGAGAAGUGCCUGGAACCACUGUUCCUGGUGUCACUUUAAAGCUUUUUGCUUCACGACUCUGUAGCAUUUAAACCUGUUUGCAGCCACAAAUGUGAUUAACAGAAGUUUACAAAGCAACACUGUACCUUAUGCAUUGUCUUAAAUGUCUGUGGACAUUCAUCAAUUGUUCAAGAAAUGAUGACAACCAGUGAGAUAAAAAGAUAGUAAAUAGUUCAGCAUGGCACCUUUGGCUGUUGUUACACUAGUUUCAUUGACAUAUGCCAUGCUUUGUAAUGCCAGGAUUAAAAUAUCAAGCAAGCCACUCAAACAGUGGCAAAGUAUUUAUAUGUGUUUGGUUUCCAUUUGUUUGUUAAGCAGCCAUUUUACUUUCCCAUGGUCAUGAGUUGAAGGGAAAUUAAGAUAACGCUCCCUCCCUACCAAUGCUAUUCAACUACCUCUAUAUGCCUGAUUUCUUUAAAAGGGUUCCCUUCUUCUAAAUCUGCACAAAAUAGUUUCAGCUCAUCUACAUUGUAAUCGCAGUCUCUGUGAAAAAAUUUUCAUUCAUUAAACACAAAUUUUCUGUU